CACGGGGGGAGCAAGCGUUGUUCGGAAUCACUGGGCGUAAAGGGCGUGUAGGCGGUCAAGUAAGUGGAAUGUGAAAUCCCCCGGCUUACCCGGGGACCGGCAUCCCAUACUGCUUGGCUUGAGUACGGGAGAGGAUGUGGGAAUUCCUGGUGUAGCGGUGAAAUGCGUAGAUAUCAGGAGGAACACCGGUGGCGAAGGCGGCAUCCUGGACCAUUACUGACACUGAAAAGCGAAAGCCAGGGGAGCAAACGGG
rnacentral:rRNA from 1 species